rnacentral:rRNA from 1 species
UACGUAGGGUGCAAGCGUUUGUCCGGAAUUAUUGGGCGUAAAGAGCUCGUAGGCGGUCUGUUGCGUCGGCUGUGAAAACCCGAGGCUCAACCUCGGGCCUGCAGCCGAUACGGGCAGACUAGAGUGUUGCAGGGGAGACUGGAAUUCCUGGUGUAGCGGUGAAAUGCGCAGAUAUCAGGAGGAACACCGGUGGCGAAGGCGGGUCUCUGGGCAACAACUGACGCUGGAGGAGCGAAAGCGUGGGGAGCGAACAGG